AAAUCUUACAAUAUGACUGUAUUGUAGGUCUUUACGUUAUCAGUGUUAAACCUUAUUAAACAUAAGGCUUUUUGGUAGGUCGUUACGUUUCAGUGAUUGCAACUAGGUAGGUCUUUACGUUUCAGUGAUUGCAACUAGUAUUGUUACUACUCAUUCUACAUUUAAUUGUCUGUACCAUUUGCA